rnacentral:misc_RNA from 1 species
AAGUCGUAACAAGGUUUCCGUAGGUGAACCUGCGGAAGGAUCAUUAACACGUAUCCAACGUUAAAACCCCCCCGUGAACCUUCAGUGUGCUCGUACGCUUUGUUAGAAAGUAGCAAUCCCUGGUAAAUCAUCGCCGAACAGUUUUGAUUCAGGGACUUCUGCGAAGAGUGUGCUUGUAGCGCGAGGCAAGUGGCCUGGCAUCCUUGUCUGAAAGUGUCAAGGGUGGCGCAGUCACGAUCGCUAGAGGCCGUGAAAACGGGCCUGCGCUUAAUUGUGCGGCCAUAAACCGAACAACUGUUAACAAUGGAUAUCUUGGUUCUC